AACAGGAAACUAGAGUAGGUGCCAAACCUCUUGUUCUCAUCCAUGCAAGAGAAAGAGGGGGGGUGUGUGCCCACCUUCCCUCCUCCUUAUGCUGAAUUUAGAGAGGGGCAUGUGCCCCUCUCAAUCUCCACAUGCAUUCCAUGUGGCUUGUGCCCAUGGAACCUACAAGAAGAAGAGGGGGUGUGUGCACCUCUGGAUCUUAUCCAAAGGUGGUGUGCACCCCACAAGAUACUUUCCAAAAGUUUAGUGGCAAGACAAAUGGGUAAAAGAGGAAGGCUUGAGGCUUGCGCCUCCAAAUGGGUUGGAUCCAAUCCAAAUGGGUGCCCAAAGUGGUGCCCCUUAAACCCAACAAGAUUAGGUUCGGAUGAAAGAUCUUGACUUGAUCUAAACCUUAUCUAAUAAGGAACUAAGUUCAGAGAAGAAUUUCGAUUUAACC
rnacentral:lncRNA from 1 species